GUAUCAAUAAGCGGAGGAAAAGAAACCAACAGGGAUUACCUCAGUAACGGCGAGUGAAGCGGUAACAGCUCAAAUUUGAAAUCUGGCUUCGGUCCGAGUUGUAAUUUGUAGAAGAUGCUUCGGGUGUGGCUCCGGUCUAAGUUCCUUGGAACAGGACGUCAUAGAGGGUGAGAAUCCCGUAUGUGACUGGAUGCCUCCGCCUAUGUGAAGCUCUUUUUCGACGAGUCGAGUUGUUUUUGGGAAUGCAGCUCAAAAUGGGUGGUAUAUUUUUCAUCUAAAGCUAAAUAUUGGCCAGAGACCGAUAGCGCACAAGUA
rnacentral:rRNA from 1 species